CGACUAAGCGCUGUUUUUUUAUGUCAGCAAGUAUAUCACUGGGAGACUCAGCAUCAUUUGAAGGCUGUUUCAUACAAAACAAACGGAAAGAAUUGUCUGAAAGCUUGGGAUAUUUCCAAGGAAAGCGGCGAAGAGCCAUACAACAGAAAAUAAUGGCGGAGGACCAGAUAUCCACUGCACGAGGAUCAUAUAGUUUCCGGACCAAGGUUUCUGGUGCAAGGUAUGGAUCCGAACCGACAACACCAGUGGCCUCAACGAUAUCGGCUUCAAAG